AUUGCCAACACAGCUGCUCAAUCAUUUUAGCUGCAUUGUGUACAUAUAUACUACAUAGUCAUGAAACCAUUCAGGCUACUAUUGUUGAGACUAGCAUCUGGCCAGGAUCUCCAUCUACAAGUUGUGUCUCGUAUUAUAGCACACAGGUAGUAGCUAGUAUUUGAGAUGGAGAGGAGUACUACAGUAUGCACUCUAUCGAUGAACCUGCCUAGAGAACGAUUAUGGCCGACAGUGGGAUUUGUUAUUCAGGACUUAAUUGGUUGCUCCAUCCAAAAAAUAACAAUAUCAGUAACAAAAGUAUCAUCAAGAAGUAGCUGUGCAGCUAUACCAAGGCCAUUUGAAAGUUUACUCGCUGCUAGUUACCCUCCACACAUUGGAGUCUUGGAAUGAUGAUUGGGG